UGACUUUAGCCACAUGAAGACCCAUUUUAGCCUAAGGACAUGGUGGGGGUGGAAGAAAGAAUGCUAAUGAAGAUGUGCUAGGGGUGUGGAGGAUGCUAAUAAGGACCAGCCACGAGAGAAAGAAAUCCCUGUUUGACCAAAGAGAAAGAAGCAGAUGAAAUAUUUCCCAAGAAAAUUAGUGACCUCAGUGGAUUGAGUCAUCACCCACUAUGAGAAUGUCCAGGAGAGAUUCACCAAGUUUGAAUUCAUGAAAAAGCUUUCACCAUGAUUAACAUUGAUCACAACCAUUUCAAGAACAGCUACAAUUUCUGAGCAUUUCCAGACACUUUCAAAGAGCUGCUCCUAGGAAAUGAAGACAAGAAGAAUAUCUCCCUGUUGUCAGAGUGUGUAGUGGAAAAAUUAAAGUAAGGUUACACCUGCUAGUUGUAUUGCUAUAUGUUUAUUCUAAGUUCCAGUAUAUUCCCACCAAGUUAAACUAUUUUGGUUACAUGUACAAGGUUGGACGUUGUUUUUCAAAACUGCAUGGGAACCAGUCUGUUUCCCAGGCUUAGGAUCCCUUAUCCCAUUGUAUAAAACUCAUGUGUUGUCUCUGCCUGGCAGAGCUUUUCAUCCAGACCUGCUUCAUUACUGAUUGUCCUACAAGCUCUCUGUAUUGUGCACAAUAUAUGAAUAAACCUGACUGAGUGAUUUCACCUGAACAGUGCUUGGAAAUAGUUUUUUUCCACGACAGUUUGGUGCCGUGACCCGGAUCCCUCGACUGGACAUCCGAGGACGUCGAUGAACAGCGUUUGGCCAACCUGGACUAAAUUCCAGCCUCAAACCUCGAUUUAAGAGAAAAGGGCUGUUGGUCGGCUCCACGGCUCCAGCGCUGGGAUCAACGAACUCAAAACCACUGUUAUCAGGUGGGAUACACACUCAGGCUAACAAAUUAAUUUUACAAAUUCCAAAUUAUUAAAUCUAAAAUAGUUAAGGAUCCGAUAAACCUUUCACCCUGGGAAAUAGAGAUUGACGGUGUUAAGAGGAAACGUUGGGUUAAAAUCCCACGGGGAAAAUUAAUAAGAAAAAUAAAAUAAAAGACAUUAAAAAAAUAAAAUAAAAUAAUUUAAAAAAAAAAAAGAAAACAACGGAUGGGAAAGAGUCCCUCCGGAAUUGUUUGAGUUUCAAUCUCAAACGGAAGAGAAAAAAGGGAACCACGGGUUUCUAGGCUGAGGGUCCUAGUGAAAGACCUUAUCGGUGAAUAAGGCAGGUAUUUUCUUAAGUUUUGGUUUUCUAAAUUGGGGGAACUAAACCUUUAGAGAAUCCUAAAGACCUUUAUCAGAAAUAAAGGCCCCUCUUAAAGGAGUAAGAGGCAGAGCGACCACAAAGCUGAUUUGUUGGAUUCUGCGAAGACGUUUGCAGUCUAAAGAGGAAAUCCCACCCAAUUCAAGAAGAAUGGGUCUACAUGGUUCCAGAACGCAAUCUCCUCCUCAGGAUGAACUGUUUGACUAUUUGAUAAUGAAAUAUUGAAAAAAAAGGAGUGUGCUUGGUGUGAAUGAAUGUGGAAUGACUUUAAAUGGUGGAAUAUUUUCCUGCAAAGCGAAUUAGAAGCAGAGGAGCAAACAGAUAAAGAAUAAAAAUGCUGAACAUAAUUCUUUUUUACUAAAUUACAGGCCUUGAUGUUAAAACAAAAUGUGUCUUGUGUCUUUUUCUCUUUGAAUAAACAAAAUUAUUUCAUUAUUUUAAAUUAUAAUUAUUAUUUUAUUUCUUACAAAGGAUCAAUCAAUCAAUUUUAUUUAUAAGGGACCCUUUCUUACUACAAGCAGCUCAAAGAGCUGUACAAAUAAUUCCCCCCCUUUUUCCCCUUCCACAACAGUGUUACAGGAAGGUUAUAACCAUGGAGAUAGCUGACACAAGCAAAGCAAAAA